CGCCCUUUCAAAUAAAAACGGAAAUGCGGUCCACAUCUUUUCCAGCACUGGAAUGAAAAUGAUGCAAAACUUAAUUAAAGCAGAUGUUCACUGAACAGCUGUUGCCAUCCCACCAGCAGGGGGCAGGACUGCCCCUCAUCAUAUCAAGCAAUGCAGUGUGAGGCUUCCUAUGCAGCUUGCGUGUUCCCUCCCUCUCCCCCUUGGCUUUGUUCAGCCAUUUACUUUGUGUUUCUGUGGCUGUGUGUUUUGCUUCUUUCAGCUGGUUUUAGGAUCUAAACUGGUCAAAGACCAUGGUAUGGCUGCUUAAGAAAGCUCACCACAGCCUACUCUUUAUGUGGAGGCUGAAGAAAUUUGGCAUGUUGCUGACAGUCCUAGGCAGCUUCUACAGGUGCACAGUGGAGAGCAUAUUAAUCUGCUGCAUAGCUGUGUGCUUUGGCAGCUGCACUGGACAGGACAGACAGGCACUGCAGUGGGUGAUCAUGUUAGCUCAGAAAAUCACAGGGUUAGGUCUCCCUUCACUGCAGGACAUCUGUGACAGGAGAAUCUGCAGAUGGGCCAGCAGCAUUGUCAGCAGUCUCACCCACCUCACCCAACAAAUCGUCACUCUCAUGAAACCUGUACAGGAGUGUUAAUACCACAACACCCAGACUCCAGAACAGUCUGUACCCCCAGGCCAACAGAAGGAUCAAGAACUGCCACCCUCUGCCAGCUGUGCCCCCACCCCAGGCACUAUGGCAAUGAUCACCCAGCUUGCAGCACUCUGCACCUUACAUGCAUUUGUUGGAGUUUGUGUUAAGCAAAUAAAUGCCUUUUUCUUAAA